GACGAACGCUGGCGGCGUGCCUAAUACAUGCAAGUCGUGCGGACCUUUUAAAAGCUUGCUUUUAAAAGGUUAGCGGCGGACGGGUGAGUAACACGUGGGCAACCUGCCUGUAAGACUGGGAUAACGCCGGGAAACCGGGGCUAAUACCAGAUCGUUUUUUCCUCCGCAUGGAGGAAAAAGGAAAGGCGGCUUCGGCUGCCACUUACAGAUGGGCCCGCGGCGCAUUAGCUAGUUGGCGGGGUAACGGCCCACCAAGGCAACGAUGCGUAGCCGACCUGAGGGGGUGAUCGGCCACAUUGGGACUGAGACACGGCCCAAACCCCUACGGGAGGCAGCAGUAGGGAAUCUUCCGCAAUGGACGAAAGUCUGACGGAGCAACGCCGCGGGAGGUAAGAAGGCCUUCGGGUCGGAAAACUCUGUUGACGGGGAAGAACAAGUGCCGUUCGAACAGGGCGGCGCCUUGACGGUACCCGGCCAGAAAGCCACGGCUAACUACGUG
rnacentral:rRNA from 1 species